rnacentral:rRNA from 1 species
AAUCAACGCUGGCGGCGUGCCUCAGACAUGCAAGUCGAACGAUUAAAGCUCUCUUCGGAGAGUGUAUAGAGUGGCGCACGGGUGAGUAACACGUAAGUAAUCUACCUUUGAGUGGGGAAUAACCCGGGGAAACCCGAGCUAAUACCGCAUAAUGCAGCGGCAUCGCAAGAUGACAGUUGUUAAAGGAGCAAUCCGCUUAAAGAGGAGCUUGCGGCAGAUUAGCUAGUUGGUAAGGUAAUGGCUUACCAAGGCUACGAUCUGUAUCCGGUCUAAGAGGACGGUCGGACACACUGACACUGAAUAACGGGUCAGACUCCUACGGAGGCAGCAGUCGGGAAUUUUGGGCAAUGGGCGAAAGCCUGACCCAGCAACGCCGCGUGAAGGAUGAAGUAUUUCGGUAUGUAAACUUCGAAAGAAUAGGAAGAAUAAAUGACGGUACUAUUUAUAAGGUCCGGCUAACUACGUGCCAGCAGCCGCGGU